UGGGGUAUCCUUCUUGAGUAGGCU
rnacentral:piRNA from 1 species